rnacentral:rRNA from 1 species
GACUACAAGGGUAUCUAAGCCUGUUUGAUCCCCAUACUUUCGUGCCUCAGCGUCAGUUAUAGUUUAGUGAGCUGCCUUCGCAAUCGGUGUUCUGUGCAAUAUCUAAGCAUUUCACCGCUACACUGCACAUUCCGCCCACUUCAAAUAUACUCAAGACUAACAGUAUCAAUGGCAAUUCUACAGUUAAGCUGUAGGCUUUCACCACUGACUUAUUAAUCCGCCUACGCACCCUUUAAACCCAAUAAAUCCGGAUAACGCUUGGAUCCUCCGUAUUACCGCGGCUGCUGGCACGGAGUUAGCCGAUCCUUAUUCUUACGGUACCAUCAGCCUCGUUCACGAACGAGGGUUUUUUCCCGUACAAAAGCAGUUUACAACCCAUAGGGCCGUCAUCCUGCACGCGGCAUGGCUGGAUCAGUGUUGCCACCAUUGUCCAAUAUUCCUUACUGCAGCCCCCCGUAGG